rnacentral:rRNA from 1 species
UACGAAGGGGGCUAGCGUUGUUCGGAAUUACUGGGCGUAAAGCGUGCGCAGGCGGCUUCUCAAGUCAGGGGUGAAAGCCCAGAGCUCAACUCUGGAAUUGCCUUCGAUACUGCGGGUCUCGAGUCCGGGAGAGGUGAGUGGAAUUCCUAGUGUAGAGGUGAAAUUCGUAGAUAUUAGGAAGAACACCAGUGGCGAAGGCGGCUCACUGGCCCGGUACUGACGCUGAGGCGCGAAAGCAUGGGGAGCGAACAGG